GACGAACGCUGGCGGCGUGCUUAACACAUGCGAGUCGAACGGAAAGGCCUUUUCGGAGGUACUCGAGUGGCGAACGGGUGAGUAACACGUGGGUGAUCUGCCCUGCACUCUGGGAUAAGCCUGGGAAACUGGGUCUAAUACCGGAUAGGACCGCACUUUAGUGUGUGUGGUGGAAAGUUUUUUCGGUGUAGGAUGAGCCCGCGGCCUAUCAGCUUGUUGGUGGGGUAAUGGCCUACCAAGGCGGCGACGGGUAGCCGGACUGAGAGGUUGGUCGGCCACAUUGGGACUGAGAUGCGGCCCAGACUCCUACGGGGGGCAGCAGUGGGGAAUAUUGCACAAUGAGCGCAAGCCUGAUGCAGCGACGCCGCGUGGGGGAUGACGGCCUUCGGGUUGUAAACUCCUUUCGCCAGGGACGAAGCGUUUUGUGACGGUACCUGGAGAAGAAGCACCGGCUAACUACGUG
rnacentral:rRNA from 1 species